UACGUAGGUGGCAAGCGUUGUCCGGAUUUAUUGGGUUUAAAGGGUGCGUAGGCGGUUUUGUAAGUCAGUGGUGAAAUACUCCAGCUUAACUGGAGGGGUGCCAAUGAUACUGCAGAACUUGAGUACAGAUGAGGUAGGCGGAAUUGACGGUGUAGCGGUGAAAUGCAUAGAUAUCGUCAAGAACACCAGUGGCGAAGGCGGCCGGCUGGGGGCGCCCUGACGCUGAGGCGCGAGAGCGUGGGGAGCAAACCGG
rnacentral:rRNA from 1 species